UACCAGCACCCCGAGUGGUCGGGACGAUUAUUGGGCCUAAAGCAUCCGUAGCCGGCCUUACAAGUCCUCCGUUAAAUCCAGCUGCUUAACAGAUGGGCUGCGGAGGAUACUAUAAGACUAGGAGGCAGGAGAGGCAAGCGGUACUCAGUGGGUAGGGGUAAAAUCCGUUGAUCCAUUGAAGACCACCAGUGGCGAAGGCGGCUUGCCAGAAUGCGCUCGAUGGUGAGGGAUGAAAGCUGGGGGAGCAAACCGG
rnacentral:rRNA from 1 species